rnacentral:rRNA from 1 species
GAUGAACGCUGGCGGCGUGCCUAAUACAUGCAAGUCGAGCGAACAGACGAGGAGCUUGCUCCUCUGACGUUAGCGGCGGACGGGUGAGUAACACGUGGAUAACCUACCUAUAAGACUGGGAUAACUUCGGGAAACCGGAGCUAAUACCGGAUAAUAUAUUGAACCGCAUGGUUCAAUAGUGAAAGACGGUUUUGCUGUCACUAAUAGAUGGAUCCGCGCCGCAUUAGCUAGUUGGUAAGGUAACGGCUUACCAAGGCAACGAUGCGUAGCCGACCUGAGAGGGUGAUCGGCCACACUGGAACUGGGACACGGUCCAGACUCCUACGAGAGGCAGCAGUAGGGAAUCUUCCGCAAUGGGCGAAAGCUUGACGGAGCAACGCCGCGUGAGUGAUGAAGGUCUUCGGAUCGUAAAACUCUGUUAUUAGGGAAGAACAAAUGUGUAAGUAACUAUGCACGUCUUGACGGUACCUAAUCAGAAAGCCACGGCUAACUACGUG